rnacentral:rRNA from 1 species
GAUGAACGCUGGCGGCGUGCCUAAUACAUGCAAGUCGAGCGAACAGACGAGGAGCUUGCUCCUCUGACGUUAGCGGCGGACGGGUGAGUAACACGUGGAUAACCUACCUAUAAGACUGGGAUAACUUCGGGAAACCGGAGCUAAUACCGGAUAAUAUAUUGAACCGCAUGGUUCAAUAGUGAAAGACGGUUUUGCUGUCACUUAUAAAUGGAUCCGCGCCGCAUUAGCUAGUUGGUAAGGUAACGGCUUACCAAGGCAACGAUGAGUAGCCGACCUGAAAGGGUGAUCGGCCACACUGGAACUGAGACACGGUCCAGACUCCUACGGGAGGAAGCAGUAGGGAAUCUUCCGAAAUGGGCGAAAGCUUGACGGAGCAACGCCGCGGGAGUGAUGAAGGUCUUCGGAUCGAAAAACUCUGUUAUUAGGGAAGAACAAAUGUGUAAGUAACUAUGCACGUCUUGACGGUACCUAAUCAGAAAGCCACGGCUAACUACGUG